rnacentral:ncRNA from 1 species
AGUAGACAAAGGCAAACUUGGUGAAAACCAAGGACGCAAAAUCACGGGUCUAAGGUGCUGUAGCACUAUGAUGGCUGGACUGCCGUA